AGUGAACGCUGGCGGUAGGCCUAACACAUGCAAGUCGAACGGCAGCACAGUAAGAGCUUGCUCUUACGGGUGGCGAGUGGCGGACGGGUGAGGAAUACAUCGGAAUCUACUUUUUCGUGGGGGAUAACGUAGGGAAACUUACGCUAAUACCGCAUACGACCUACGGGUGAAAGCAGGGGAUCUUCGGACCUUGCGCGAUUGAAUGAGCCGAUGUCGGAUUAGCUAGUUGGCGGGGUAAAGGCCCACCAAGGGGACGAUCCGUAGCUGGUCUGAGAGGAUGAUCAGCCACACUGGAACUGAGACACGGUCCAGACUCCUACGGGAGGCAGCAGUGGGGAAUAUUGGACAAUGGGCGCAAGCCUGAUCCAGCCAGACCGCGUGGGUGAAGAAGGCCUUCGGGUUGUAAAGCCCUUUUGUUGGGAAAGAAAAGCAGCAGGUUAAUACCCCGCUGUUCUGACGGUACCCAAAGAAUAAGCACCGGCUAACUUCGUG
rnacentral:rRNA from 1 species